UAUGGCAUCUUUGCAAAGCGGUGAAGUGUGGGAUUUGUAUAUGCUCGAACUGCGGGUCCCAUGGAAUGUCAAAGUAGGAACAAGCUAGUUUAAGGAAAGAAGGAACAGAGGCAUCUGAUGCUAGUUUGUGGUUUUCAUAUGGUUUAUACAGUUCUUCAAGCACGAACAUUGGGAUCUGGUUUUCAAGUAAGAUCAAAUCCCUCCGUAGACCAGCGGACCAUGUUUCUUUCAACAACAAGUCUUUGAUGUCCGAAUUUUUUUCCACUUCCUUCUCAUAGUUCCUCAAGAAGAGCUCCAUGAUAAACAGUGCAUCAUAAAAUAUCAUCUUUACGAACUCGUCUUCAUCGAUUAAAGCCUGUAACAGUUGAGAAUAUUUUUAUCGUAGCGUUCAAUGAAACUCCAAAAACUUUCCAAUGCCUUCUUGGAAACGGAAGUCCUUUGAAGAAAUUUAACUUGAUAAUCCACUUUAUACUUGGCCAUGCUAGCCAAACUUGUUUUCCGAUAAUGAAGAGGGCCAAUUGAAAUUAAUAGAGGAGUGUAAGCUUUUGGAUUUGCUUGACGAAUGUUCCUAGGGACCUCGUAGAUAAACCCUUGGUCCGGCCCCCGCUCCAAAUCCUCCACUUCCGAAUCAUUGGAUGCUUCAUCUUUCUUUGUCUCAAAUGAUGGGGCGUUAAUUGAGCCUAAUUGUCCCUUCCUUGGAGCCAUUUCUUGCACCUACUUUUUCAUGUAUCUAGCAUACAUAUCAAGUUAGCAAUAAACUUUAUUUAUAUAUUGAAUGAAAAAUGAUUUUAGUAUCGUUAUGUGGCAUGCAACAUUACAGUGCUUUGAAAUCAGUAUGUACCGACCAGACCAGUACUAGUAUGGUACUGACUACUGUAGAUCAUACACAUAGAGACUUAAAACUUACAGGGAAUCCGAUAACCUUUGGCUUCCAAUACUAGAAUUGGCUGCUGACGCCUGGAUUUGAAAACGGAGAGAAAUGGAAGGGAAACGUUGAAGAACUAGUUACUAGAUAAUAAGUGAAUCCUUGAAGUCGAUCAGAGUGGCUAAGGGCAUUUAUAUAGAUGCAAAUUUGGAUCAGGUUGGUUGAAUUUGAUCCAAAGUCUAAACAUCAAAAAAAAUAUUAGAAAAGGUGGCAUUGGUGGGUGUUUAUAAAUUGAAUCUUAAAAUGUAUUUAGUUAGCUGUUAAUGUCUCCUAUAUUUAAUAUAUUAAAGGGUUAAUGUAUUUUUCCCUUUCUGAUUUUAAAAAUAACGUUUACUUUCGUAUGUCAAUUUUGUAUAAUAACGUUUACAUGGGGUCUACUGUGUAAGUCUAUAACUCGAUUAUGUCAGCAUAGAGAGUGUGUUAGGAUAGAAAACAUGGUGCAACCUAUCAGGUUAGAAGACUUGGAAAAAUCUAUUGAGACAUUUAACUUGGGGUAAAAGAGUGAAGAACUGUAGCUUGGUUGUGACAUCAUGAAGACUCAGCCGAUAUGGUGAAAAUGGGACUUCACAAGGUGAAAAAUCUUAGCUUGGUGAUGGAGUUUGGCGAAGAACGCCAAAUGGAAUGGAACCUAAGGCUUUUUCAAUUAGAGGAUGUACCAAAUGAAGGAGUGAAACUUCAGGGUCCAUGGGUAAGGGCUAAGUCACUAGGAAUGACAAGGAACUCGCUUAAGGUUUAUCUGGGGUAAAUAGUUUGCUAGGAAAAAGGGAAGAUCGGAAUUUUAAACCCAAUAAGCCAAUGUUAGUUAGUUAAUGGCUGACAUGGGAAUCUCUCAUCCAAGGUGGCGAAAGGGGGAAACAAAGAAUCUUGGAUGAGGUGUGUUCAAUUCUGUAUUCCUCGUGAACCCCUACCUUGGAUAGAAUUUGUGUAUGCUACAAAUUAUGAAGGAGUUGGUCAGCGGUGCGCUUUAGGAAAAAAGCGAAGAGAAAGACACAUUGAAAUAAUCUGCUAAUGGCCAAUGGUGACCAGAGAGUGGAAAAAUAUCCUUUUAGGGUUUAUUUAUUAAAUUUCAAUUUAGCUAUAUGUCGACUUGCAAAAGAUCACUAAGUUCUAUCGAACUAACCAACGGUAUGCUUAAUUGCAGGAAUAAGCUUUCACUUGGAAAUUGCGCGGGGGGCUAAGCCAGACUUUGCCAACUUGAAGGAAAAAGGGAGGGAUAGUCAUAACAUGCAUAUAGAGGGGCGCUCUUAGAGGUUAUACCUUGGGGUUUUAGUCAAGUUCUAAAAUUUUCAAGUUUUAAAGUCAAAGUUUUAAAUGAAGUUGUGAACUAGCUAUUUUAAAAGAUGUAUAUGCUAGUAUUGACUAUUGUGUAUUGUUAAUUAGUUGAGAAUAAAAUUCAAAUGUGUUAGCUAGAUAUUUAGGAUUUGAAUCAUCCGAAACUCGGAUUUGGAGAGCAAGUCGGGUACGGGUGUUACAAAUAUUUACCGAGCUAAUAUAAAAAUAUAUUGAAGAAUGGUCGAAUAAUUUUGUCAAAUUAAUAGUUAAUUAAGGCUCCAGGACAAAAUUGUAAAGUCCAAUCAUUAUAGAGUUUUAAUUAAAAAAAAGCUUGAGGACUAGAUAACAAUUAACCAAAAGACCGAAAUGGGUAAUAAACCAUUAUUAUGUAAAAGUUAAUGGAAGAUUCUAUCUCUAAUAAGUGAAGUUAAAAGUUAGAUUAUGCUAACUAAUUGUGAUUUAUUAAGCUAAUUAGCUACUAAUUAAACUAUAAAUAACAAGAUAAGUGGAAAGAAAUAGAAGGUUACCAUCUUCUUCAUACUUCUUUAGCUGAUUCACCAUUGAAAGAAAAAGAGAAAACCCAUUCUUAAGGCUUAGUCAUUCGAACAUUCAAAUAGGUAUGGAAAUCAAGCUAUUUUCUUGUAAUUUUAUAGAUUUAUGGUCAUGAAAGCUUGAUACAGCUAACCCAUGUACCAAUUUGUGAAUUUGUUAAAGUUUUAGAAAGUUGUCAUUGUUGAUUAUUUAAAGAAUUUGGUUUGAAAUUGAUAGAUUUUAAGCUUAGAAUAUGAAAAUGACUAGAUUUUAAAGUUAAAUUAGCUUGUUUGUUAACUUUGUUAUGUUAGAGACCAAAUUGAGUAAAUGUAAAACCUGUCAUGAAAUUAUGUUACAAAUAGAAAAUAUAAGGCCUCUAAUGAGAAUAUAUGAAAUCAUAUUUUAAUCCAAAGCUAGGAAUUGAAAGUUAUGCCUAUCUCGAGUUUAGGGACUAAAUUGAAUAAAACAUAAAAUAUGAAGGAAAUCAAAAAAUAAAUUUAUAUAGGAUCAUGCAUGUCAGGAAAUUUUAUGAAAAUGUUUGGUAUUGAAUUUUUAUAUAAAAUAAUUGUAUAUAUCAAGAUUUGGUUCAAAGUGGAGUUAAUAGGGGAAAAGCUAAAAUUAGGGAUUAGUCUCUAAAGAAUCGACUAGUGUUUUGUUUUGAAUAAGUAAGUUCAUAUGGAAUUUUCUAUCUCAUUUUUGUAUGAUAUGUGUGCUUGUGUUUAAUUUGAUAUAUCUAUGUUUGAGUAUAAUUUAAAAUAUUAGUGAAUUUGACAUAUAUGUCUAGUAAUGGAAUGAAUUGGAAUGCCAUGUGAUGAUUGACUAUUGCGUAAUAAAUGUGAAAAUUUGAAUGACUAUAGAGUAUAAAUGUAUAAAAUUGAUUGAUUAUAGGGAUGAUAAUGAAAUAUGUGUAAUUGAUGCCUAUUGAGUUAUAUGCGUGCUGGAACGGGAUAUGUGAUUGUACGAAGAUUAUUAUAGGUCAUAUUGAGAUUCAACAUCCGUUGCGGAUCAUCAAGUAUUAUAUAGCUCAGAUAAUCAACUUGGUGUAAUUUAGCUUGGAUGAGCAACCUAGUAUGGCAUAGUUUACCUAUGUAUCUGAGUCUAUUUUACUAAAGUUCCAUCUGGUGAAACAUGAUAAUUGGAAUAUAAAACUUGAAAAUGUAAUGAAAUGAGUUGAUAAAAUAAUUUGAUAUAACAUUGAAAGGAAUUGUAUGGAAUUAGUAUAAUCUUAUAGAUCGGUAAUGGAAUAUGACAUUAAAAAUGAACUAUGUGAAGUUGUUAUGUUCUUAUAGAUAAUGAUAGAAUAUGACAUUGAGACAAGUUAUGUGAAAGUGAUGGAUUGAUAUGUUUUGAGUUUGCUUAUACCUACUAAUGAACAUGGAUACUUCUGCUCACUUGUUAUUUUAAGUGCUAUGUCUUAGUAAAAAUUUUGCCAAAACUAAGGUAGCUAACAUACAAAGUAUGCCAAGUAUUUAAGAAGAAUUGCUCCUCCUUUUUUCUGAAUAUUAAUUACUUACUUUCUUAAAUGACAUGCGAGAUUUUCUUUCUUUUUCCUUUCUCCCUUCUUUCUUUUCCUUCUCCUUUAUUCACUAAAUCACUACCAUCCACAACCUGUUCCUCCCUUAAGUUGUUCACAUGAUCAUCUUUAACCUCAACCUUCUUUACAAGAUAUAUAGAUAGAUGGGUGCAGAUGAAGAGGUCAGGAGUUGGGUUGAGUGACGGAGCAACGAUAAGUUAAGCAGAUGGUGUGGUUUGUGCAAGCAGGUACUGAAGAUUACAUACCCAGAAAAAUUAGGUCAUAGGGCAUAUAAUGUUAACUUUGGCAUGAUAAUUAAACUUAAUAUACACUAAAAUAUUUGACCGUAGCCAAAUGCCAAACUAAAAGCAAAACCAUGAAAACUUCAAUCACUACUUUCAUUACAUACAAAUGCAUAGGCAUUCGUAUUUUAUUGAAAACACACCAGCACGAUAAUACUAAAAAUUAAUUCACAAAAGCAAACACGGUUUGUAUGCAGGUGAGGACGACAACCAUAAAAGCAGCAACAGUCCCUGUUCCUCUCCAAAGAUUGGGGAAAUAAACACGCUUCAGAAUUCCAUAAUUUUCCUUGAUGAAUAAUGUCACUUUGCGCUUCCGACCCUCUUUAUAAAGCUGGUUCAAUCGAUUCGCGGUUUCCCGGUAGCAAGCAGGCGGCUCCCCAAUUCCCUGCAUAAGUUUCUUAAUCAUACGUUGCACCGCUAUAUUUGUGUUUAUUAUGGUAACCAGUCUUCCUUCGUUUUUGCCUUCCUUGCUUAAAAUCCCUUUUUCUAUUAACUGUUCUACAUCUUGGGCAGUUGGAAUGAGAUAAUUCAUUAGCUCUAUGUAAGCACAAACGUAGGCUUCAUCUGGACAAUGGCACAUCUCGAACGCCAUGACGUUCCGAAGGUAAGCUUCAGUGUUGGAGUGCACUGUCAAUUUGGGGAUUUUAAGCUUUUUACCGUCAAAUUUAACAUCAAGCAAACAUGCAGUUUGAUUAGGUUCAACUAUAAGCUCAACACCAACUUCAUGCAAACUUGUGGCACCAUACACUUUUUUCAACGUUGGGAUCUUGGUCUUGGAUGAUGGAUUUUGUGUUUUGGUCAUAUGGCAUCUUUGCAAAGCGGUGAAGUGUGGGAUUUGUAUAUGCUCGAACUGCGGGUCACAUGGAAUGUCAAAGUAGGAACAAGCUAGUUUAAGGAAAGAAGGAACAGAGGCAUCUGAUGCUAGUUUGUGGUUUUCAUAUGGUUUAUACAGUUCUUCAAGCACGAACAUUGGGAUCUGGUUUUCAAGUAAGAUCAAAUCCCUCCGUAGACCAGCGGACCAUGUUUCUUUCAACAACAAGUCUUUGAUGUCCGAAUU
rnacentral:lncRNA from 1 species